GGUCGGGUCGCGGGCGCUCGGUCCCAGCCGAGGGGCGGGCGCCGGACGGCGUGCGGGACCGAGGGCGCCGCGGCUGGCCGGGGUCCUGGGCCUCGCCGGUGGGCGUCUCGCCGUCGCACCCGCAGCGCACUCCUGCCGAGGGAGGCCCUGCCCCCCCACACACAGCCCCCGGCGGCGGCCCGUCGUGACGUGCGCGUUCUGACGUCACCCUGCCGGCGCCGCCCUGACGUGUCCUCUCCCUGAUGUCACCCGGCGGCGCCGCGGACACGCAGCAGGCUGCUGUCACCUGCUGAGUGGUCAGCGUUCCCGAGUCAGUGCGAGUGCGGUUGGUUUUUUAAAGACCCGGGAACCUCCGGAGUUCCGUUCUGGGGUCUGCCUGAGCUGUGCGGUCUGCGGGGACGGGCGCUCGGGGCGGAGCAGGACCGGGUGGUGGGACCGGGGAGGGGGGAGGACGAGGCAGGAUAGGGAAGGAUGGGGAGGACGGGAGAAGACGGGGUGGUGGGACCGGGGCAGGACAGGGCAGGGUGGGGGAAGAUGGGAGGGAUGAGGAAGGUUGGGAAGGAUGGACCAGGACAGGGCAGGGUGGGGGAAGAUGGGAGGGAUGAGGAAGGUUGGGGAGGACGGAGCAGGACGGGGUGGUGGGACCAGGGCAGGACAGGGCAGGGUGGGGGAGGAUGAGGAUGAGGAAGGACGGAGCAGGACAGGGUGGUGGGACUGGAGAGGAGGAGGCAAGAUAGGGCAGGUUGGGGAGGAUGGAAGAAGAUGGGAUGGUUGGACUGGGUAGCCCAGGAGGACGAGAGAAGAAAGGGAAGGACUGGUGGGGAUGUUGGCUGGCCGGGGAGGACGAGGCGGAACGAGGAGGAGGGAGCCGCACAGGGAAGGACAGAAGACGAUGGAGCAGGAUGGGGAAGGAUAGAGCAGCGGGGGAGGACAGGGCAGCUGGCUGGAGGGCGUCUCGCGGGUGCGUUUGGACUCAUCACUCCAUGUGUGCUUGCAGCCAGCACAUUCCUGCGAUGAAAAAUAAAAACGUUAGAAAACUUGUCCGGUUUAGCAGAACAAACCUACCCUGCUGGGACUCAAGAGUGGACAAGGAAUAUGGAAGUAACAUCUGUAUACAUCUGCUCCCUGUAAAAUGCCAACCUGUCAUCCCCAGGGAGCUGCACGGGCCCAUGGUGCACAUGUGUGCACCUUGCACCAGCAGCAGGAGGGCCAGGCGUCAGCACCCAGGAAACACUCUCAGAGUGCGCUCAACAGAGCCACUUUGCCAGGGACCAACAAAUAAAAACCUCUAG
rnacentral:lncRNA from 1 species